AUUGAACGCUGGCGGCAGGCCUAACACAUGCAAGUCGAGCGGAUGACGGGAGCUUGCUCCUUGAUUCAGCGGCGGACGGGUGAGUAAUGCCUAGGAAUCUGCCUGGUAGUGGGGGGCAACGUCUCGAAAGGAACGCUAAUACCGCAUACGUCCUACGGGAGAAAGCAGGGGACCUUCGGGCCUUGCGCUAUCAGAUGAGCCUAGGUCGGAUUAGCUAGUUGGUGGGGUAAUGGCUCACCAAGGCGACGAUCCGUAACUGGUCUGAGAGGAUGAUCAGUCACACUGGAACUGAGAAACGGUCCAGACUCCUACGGGAGGCAGCAGUGGGGAAUAUUGGACAGUGGGCGAAAGCCUGAUCCAGCCAUGCCGCGUGUGUGAAGAAGGUCUUCGGAUUGUAAAGCACUUUAAGUUGGGAGGAAGGGCAGUAAGUUAAUACCUUGCUGUUUUGACGUUACCGACAGAAUAAGCACCGGCUAACUCUGUGCCAGCCGCCGCAGUAAAAC
rnacentral:rRNA from 1 species